rnacentral:rRNA from 1 species
UACGUAGGGUGCAAGCGUUAAUCGGAAUUACUGGGCGUAAAGCGUGCGCAGGCGGUUUUAUAAGUCUGACGUGAAAGCCCCGGGCUCAACCUGGGAAUUGCGUUGGAGACUGCAAGGCUUGAAUCUGGCAGAGGGGGGUAGAAUUCCACGUGUAGCAGUGAAAUGCGUAGAGAUGUGGAGGAACACCGAUGGCGAAGGCAGCCCCCUGGGUCAAGAUUGACGCUCAUGCACGAAAGCGUGGGGAGCAAACAGG